GGACGAACCCCUGGAGAGUCUCGAAAGAGCGCCGAAGGUGAAUUAAUCUCUCAGGCAAAAGGACAGGGUUGAAAUU
rnacentral:ncRNA from 2 species